rnacentral:rRNA from 1 species
GACGAACGCUGGCGGCGUGCUUAACACAUGCAAGUCGAACGGAAAGGCCCUGCUUUUGUGGGGUGCUCGAGUGGCGAACGGGUGAGUAACACGUGAGUAACCUGCACUUGACUUUGGGAUAACUUCAGGCAACUGGGGAUAAUACCGGAUAGGAGCUCCUGCUGCAUGGUGGGGGUUGGAGAGUUUCGGCGGUUGGGGAUGGACUCGAGGCUUAUAAGCAUGUUUGGGGGGUAGUGGCUUCCCAAGGCUUUGGCGGGUAGCCGGCCCGAGAGGGGGAACGGCCACAGUGGGACCGGGAUACGGCCCAUACUCCUACGGGAGGCAGCAGGGGGGAAUAUUGCACAAUGGGCGGAAGCCUGAUGCAGCAACGCCGCGUGUGGGAUGACGGCCUUCGGGUUGUAAACCGCUUUCGCCUGUGACGAAGCGUGAGUGACGGUAAUGGGUAAAGAAGCACCGGCUAACUACGUG